AGAACGAACGCUGGCGGCAGGCCUAAUACAUGCAAGUCGAACGCACUCUUCGGAGUGAGUGGCAGACGGGUGAGUAACGCGUGGGAACCUUCCCAAUGGUACGGAAUAACUCCGGGAAACCGGUGCUAAUACCGUAUAAGCCCCUCGGGGGAAAGAUUUAUCGCCAUUGGAUGGGCCCGCGUCGGAUUAGCUAGUUGGUAAGGUAAUGGCUUACCAAGGCUACGAUCCGUAGCUGGUCUGAGAGGAUGAUCAGCCACACUGGGACUGAGACACGGCCCAGACUCCUACGGGAGGCAGCAGUAGGGAAUCUUGGACAAUGGGCGAAAGCCUGAUCCAGCCAUGCCGCGUGAGUGAAGAAGGCCUUAGGGUUGUAAAGCUCUUUUUGGCGGGGACGAUAAUGACGGUACCCGCAGAAUAAGCCCCGGCUAACUUCGUGCCAGCAGCCGC
rnacentral:rRNA from 1 species